rnacentral:tRNA from 2 species
GGCGGGGUAGCCAAGUGGGAAGGCCGGGCGCCGCAAACGCCCUACGAGCUGGUUCGAUUCCAGCCCCCGCCUCCA